AUACUUACCUGGCAGGGGAGAUACCGGGAUCAAGAAUGCGGUUCACCCAGGGCGAGGCUCAGCCAUUGCACUUCGGCUGUGCUGACCCCGUUCGCGCUCUCCCCUGAUUUUUUUUUUUGGGGGGCAGUGGUGGCCUAGCGGUUAAGGAAGUGGCCCCGU
ensembl:snRNA U1 U1 spliceosomal RNA